AACCCAUGGUGAGGGCACCUUCUCAAUUAGUCCUUAUACCUCUCCCAUGCAUUAUAUAGAGUCUCUAAAUCUAUUUUCAUGAAGAUAGAGAUAUCAUUCCUCAGCUU
rfam:Gossypium arboreum cultivar AKA8401 contig_45556_5, whole genome shotgun sequence.